GUCCUGUAUAGACUGUUCUUAUACGAUUACAAUGCUAGUAGUUUAUUUGAAACAAGCUUCCGAAACCAUAUCAGACUUCUUCUGUACAGUCCAAUUAUUUUAAAUACAGUUUACACUUUAAACAUAUGGAAAGUUGUUCGGCCAAAUAGCCCAGUUCAACUACCCUUCUUUUUUCAUUCCAUGCAAACACACCAUUUUCUGUCUGAGUUUAUACGUCUGCCUGUACGGUGGUUCCCCUCCCUCCCACCCCCGCAAAAUUAUAUCGGUAUUCUUUUCCAAAUAAAUUUCCUUUUUCUAUUUUGCUAGCGACGUUUUUCGGUGACCAUUUAAAAACGAAUGGGCUUCUUAGCGGAAUUGCAUUAAUUGUGGUAUAAUUUCCGUAUUUUCACACAUUGCGUUUCUAUAAUUUCGAUUUCUACUUUCAAAACAAAAUUUCACCGGGGGAACAGUGUGCAUCAUUAAUAAGAAUGUAUUGCAAAAAAACAAAAAAACAACAACCAAGAAUAAAAAGCUAAGUCUGUUAUGAAGAAUGCGAGGAAGACGACGAAGCAAUCAAUGUAGGGGUUUAUGGGCAAACAUGUUUAAUGGCACUACAUGGAUAAAACCAGAGGAUUUCGAAUAUCUGGCAAAAUUUCUAAAACAAGAGGAGCGAGCAUCCUUAACUUAACGAAUAUCUGGC
rnacentral:lncRNA from 1 species